UGGGGAAUAUUGGACAAUGGGCGAAAGCCUGAUCCAGCCAUGCCGCGUGAGUGACGAAGGCCUUAGGGUUGUAAAACUCUUUCGUCGGGGACGAUAAUGACGGUACCCGAAGAAGAAGCUCCGGCUAACUUCGUGCCAGCAGCCGCGGUAAUACGAAGGGAGCUAGCGUUGUUCGGAAUCACUGGGCGUAAAGCGCACGUAGGCGGAUAGUUAAGUCAGGGGUGAAAUCCUGGGGCUCAACCCCAGAACUGCCUUUGAUACUGGCUGUCUCGAGGUCGAGAGAGGUUGGUGGAAUUCCUAGUGUAGAGGUGAAAUUCGUAGAUAUUAGGAAGAACACCAGUGGCGAGGCGGCCAACUGGCUCGAUACUGACGCUGAGGUGCGAAAGCGUGGGGAGCAAACAGGAUUAGAUACCCACGUAGUCCCUGAGCGGGCUGGCAAGGCGCAU
rnacentral:rRNA from 1 species